AUGAUACAAUCAAUUGGAUGUUUUUCUACGGUUAUUGAUCUAGCAGAAAAAAUGUUGUUUUCACAUCAUUGUUUUAAUCCAAUGUUCAGCUUUCAUGCUAUAAGCUUUACUGCUUUACUGAUUUUCGUAGGAAAUGUUGAACGUUCGUAUAAAUUGAAUCAAUGUGGCCUUACAUGUAGUGCCGGUACUGUUAAAUUUGUAGAUAUCUUAUUUUAUUCAGCAGUAACUUUAUUUUCUUUUCACUUCUUUUUUAUAAAUGUCAUGGAGUCAGUUAUAAUAGUGAUUUCUUUUCCUUCUGAAAGAAAUUGUUUAUCUGCUUUGGGUUUCAAUUUUAAGGCCAUCUCGGUACAAUCUGCAACUACUUAUAGACUACUUCAUCUGGAUGGGUUUGCAACUUUGUGUACAGUUUGCUUCAAUACCUCUGGUACCAUUCUACUGUCUGCUGCUAUUUUUCCAUUUGUUCAGUUGCUACCUCUACCCGCCAAGUUGAUUUUCUGCAGAUAG
rnacentral:rRNA from 1 species